rnacentral:misc_RNA from 1 species
AGAAAAAAUGAAACAAUAAGAAAAUAAACCAAGAAAAUAGAAACGAAACGAGAAAAUAGUCAAACCACCACCACCACGACCACGACCACCACCACCACCACCACCACCACCACCACCACGACCCCAAUGAUAAACAAAUGCUAACCAACAGACGCAGCAUGGCAGGAGGAGGCGUCGAAGGAGGAGGAGGAGGAGGAGAGAGGGGCUUUAAGAUAACACCACAGGAUCUUCGAGAGUUAAUGGCUGCCCGGGGCUCUGAGGACCUCCCCCUUCUGCGUAGGAAGUUCGGGAGAGUUCAGGAUGUUUGUGACGGUCUCCUCUCCAAUCCUACAGAAGGAAUCAGCAGUGACCCCGAGGACUUAGAUGUGCGACGAGAGUACUACGGAAGCAACGUUAUUGAGCCCAAGCCGCCUCCUUCAUUCCUACGACUGGUAUUUGAGGCUUUGAAGGACACUACUCUGAUUAUCCUUCAAGUAGCUGCCGUCCUUAGCAUCGUCCUUAGCUUUUUCCAUGCAGAGGUGGGAGGGAAAGAUGCUGAUGAGGGACAGACCAUUCUUCCUUCCCCUGAAGACGAGAAGGAGCAGGCCCCCCCGUGGAUAGAAGGCGUUGCUAUCCUUGCUGCUGUUGCUGUCGUCGUCCUUGUCACGGCUUUCAAUGAUUAUACGAAAGAGCGGCAGUUUCGAGGUCUGCAGACACGUAUAGAGAACACACACACAUUCUCCGUGGUGAGGUCCAGAAGCAUCAUUCAGGUCCCCAUCUCGGACAUCUUGGUGGGGGAUAUCUGUCAGAUCAAGUACGGGGACAUGCUGCCGGCUGACGGGCUGCUCAUCCAAGGGUCUGACCUCAAGGUAGACGAGUCCUCGCUCACGGGGGAGAGUGACCACGUGACCAAGACCCCAGAACAGGACCCCUUCCUCUUCUCAGGAACCACGGUGAUGGAGGGCAGUGGGCGCAUGGUGGUGACUGGGGUGGGCGAGAACUCCCAGGCAGGCAUCAUCAUGACCCUCCUCGGCGCCACAGAAAAGAGCAAGGACGGCAAGAAGAAGAAGAAGAAAGAAGAGGAGAAGCAAGACCCCACGGAGAGAUCAGUGCUGCAGAACAAACUGUCUAAACUUGCCAUACAGAUUGGUUAUGCAGGCACCGUGAUAGCUGUCCUCACUAUCGUCAUCCUGGUGGUGUCCUUCAGCGUCAAGACCUACCUGCUGGCGAAGGAGCCUUUUAAUGUCCUCCACGUCAACUCCUUCCUCCACUUCUUCAUCAUCGGUGUCACUGUACUGGUGGUGGCGGUCCCUGAAGGCCUUCCUCUCGCUGUUACUAUCUCCCUUGCCUUCUCCGUCAAGAAAAUGAUGAAGGACAACAAUCUGGUGAGGCACUUGGACGCGUGUGAGACCAUGGGGAACGCCACAACGAUAUGCAGUGACAAGACAGGAACUCUGACCACCAACCGCAUGACAGUGGUGGCUGCGCACAUCGCCGGGGUCACGCACAGAUCCCUGCCAAAGUACGAGUCACUGCCACAGAACACCGCAGACCUUCUUGUCCUGGGUAUUAGCAUCAACACCAACUACACCUCCAAGAUCGUCCAGUCAGACACCCCCGGAGAGCUCCCCAAACAGCUCGGGAACAAGACGGAGUGUGCAUUACUUGGCUUUGUCACUGAUAUGGGCCGUAAUUACGUGACGGUGAGGAAGAACAACCCGGAGGAGAAGUUCAUUAAGGUGUACACGUUUAAUUCAGCGCGGAAGUCCAUGUCAACGGUGGUGCCUCUUGGUGUUGGCGGGUUCAGGCUCUUCACCAAGGGAGCCUCUGAAAUGGUGGUGAGGAAGUGUGGCUAUGUGCUGAACGAGAAGGGUGACGCAGAGAAGCUGUCAGAGGAGGACCAGAGGGAGCUUGAGUUAGACAUCAUUGAGAAGCUUGCGUCUGACGGCCUGAGAACCAUUGGCCUGGCUUACCGUGACUUUGUACCCUUUGACGCCAGUGUGAACCAGACAUCCAUCACGGAGGAGCCAGACUGGGACAAGGAGGAGGAGAUAGUGACCAGCCUCACCCUGAUAGCUGUGGUGGGUGUGGAGGACCCUGUUAGGCCAGAGGUCCCCAAGGCUAUUGAGCUGUGCCAGAGGGCUGGGGUGACAGUCCGCAUGGUGACGGGAGACAAUGUGAACACAGCCCGGGCCAUUGCGUCCAAGUGUGGCAUUCUGCGGCCCAAGGAUGAUGGCCUGGUGAUGGACAGUCGGCAGUUCAACACAAUGGUGAAGGAUGAGAAUGGGGAGGUGUCCCAGGAUCUCAUAGACAAGGUGUGGCCAAGACUGAGGGUCCUUGCUCGCUCCUCCCCUCAAGACAAGUAUGUGCUGGUGAAGGGCAUCAUUAACUCUCACGCCGGGGACAUGAGGCAGGUGGUGGCAGUGACUGGUGAUGGCACUAAUGAUGCACCAGCUCUCAAAAUGGCUGAUGUCGGGUUUGCAAUGGGCAUCACCGGCACAGACGUAGCCAAAGAAGCGUGCGACAUUGUACUGACAGAUGACAACUUUAGCUCCAUCGUGAAGGCGGUGAUGUGGGGCAGAAAUGUGUAUGACUCCAUCGCCAAGUUCCUUCAGUUCCAGCUCACUGUCAACGUGGUGGCGGUGACGGUGGCAUUUGUUAGUGUGUGCAUCAUCAGCGACUCGCCCCUCAAGACCGUUCAGAUGCUAUGGGUGAACUUGAUAAUGGACACUUUAGCCUCCCUUGCCCUGGCCACUGAAGCGCCUUCCCUGGCCCUCCUGCACCGCCAGCCCUACGGGAGGACCAUGCCCCUUGUGUCAGCCAUCAUGCUCAGGAACAUCAUCGGACAGGCUGCCUUUAUGGUGCUCAUGAUCUUCCUCCUCCUGUUCUAUGGCCACAUCAUGCUGGACAUAGACGACGGGCUGUACAGGGAGCGCGGGGAGCCUCCGUCGCAGCACUUCACCCUCAUCUUCAACACCUUCGUGAUGAUGACGCUCUUCAAUGAGGUCAACGCCAGGAAGAUCCACGGGGAACACAACAUCUUUGAGGGCAUCACCGGCAACCCUCUCUUCUACUGCAUCUGGGUGGUGACCUUCGUGGCGCAGGUAAUCAUCGUGCAGUUUGGAGGCUACGCGUUCAAUACAGCACCACUCACCCUGGACCAGUGGCUGUGGUCUGUGUUCUUUGGUGUCAUGACCCUUCUGUGGGGCCAGCUCCUUACCACUGUGUUUGCCUUCAUUCCAAGCCAUGGGAGGUCCUCAUCAGUGCAGCCAGCGCAGGGCGAGGAGCACACAGUCUCUCGGGACCCGCUGGAGACUUCGUUCAUAAAGAAGAAACGAAAUGCACAUGUCUUCUGGGUUCAAAGCAUUACUGACCUACAGACUCAGAUACGAGUCAUCCGCGCCUUCCAGUCCGGACUUGUGGAGCCUCUGGAUGCGCAAAACGAGCGGGGCUGGUCUGGAGGCUUGGGGCGCCGACCGCUUAAGCCGCGACCCCAUUCUGUCUCCGAUAACACUUCCCUCGAUCUUCUCGUUGACCCAGAGGGAAGCGCACUGCCGGAGGUCGAAGGGUCACGAUAACGGUGUUGUUUUGAUUAAGGUGCAAGAGGCGCAUCCACAGGGAAGCCCCACGCCACACCUCCCCCUCUCCAACCAACACCUCUCUGUGCCUGAUGUGGAUGUAAAUGGCAGGUCCCUCUACCCCUCGUCACCUGGGAGUUACCUGUGAUUACUUGCUGGAGCAUUACCUGGCCUCAUCUGCUGGGUUUUGUGGUGUGGUGGGGGCAGUGUGGUAGUGAAUGAAGUGGUGGUGACUGUGAACCAACACUUACGUCUUUAGACCAUUCCAACACAAGUUACACCUUAAACAGCAGCAAUGCCAGAAAAAACAGCUUGAUUUGAAGGAAGAAGAGGAAAGAGGAGGACCAGAGGAGAGGAGAUAACAAGAAGAAAAUGAAAGACCAGAGGAGAGGACAAGUGGAGGAGACUAUGGAGGACAAGAAGAGAGUGACUAGUAGAAGAGGACAAGGAGAGAGACUGUUAAGCCUUUUUGGUAUAGAGAGCUUAACUUUGGUUAGCAGGCCACUGUAGAUGCUGUAGGUCCACAUAAAGUUAUUAAGUUUGUUGUUUUUAUCUGUUGUCCAGCUGAGCAGUUUCACUGGUAGUUUUGGUGUUCUUAAGCAAUCCAGGUGUAGAAGGAAAAUUCAGGAUAUAAAGAGUUUGUAUAUUAUGUACAAAUUUACAAGUGCUGUCCACACACAAUGUACAAGUACAUAUGGAAACGUGCUUAAAAUUCAGGAAAGUGUUUGUAAUGUCACCGAGUUCACAGAGUCACUAAAUUACCGCAGCACACCGUUUCAGAUGCACACACACUUGACACACCCUGCACUUCCCAGUUCCUUUACCUGGAGAACCGUUAGGUGCAACUGACAGCAGAGCACCACAUGAAACUAAAACCAGGAAUUAAUCCAAUAUAUAUACUGUAUAUA